rnacentral:rRNA from 1 species
CAUGCCUCAGUAGCGGCGAGUGAAGCGGCAAGAGCUCAGAUUUGAAAUCGUGCUUUGCGGCACGAGUUGUAGAUUGCAGGUUGGAGUCUGUGUGGAAGGCGGUGUCCAAGUCCCUUGGAACAGGGCGCCCAGGAGGGUGAGAGCCCCGUGGGAUGCCGGCGGAAGCAGUGAGGCCCUUCUGACGAGUCGAGUUGUUUGGGAAUA